ACACGACUACAUUAGAUACCCCGGUAGUCCCAGCCGUAAACGAUGCGCGUUAGGUGUAUCGGUGACCACGAGUCACCGAGGUGCCGAAGGGAAACCGUGAAACGUGCCGCCUGGGAAGUACGGUCGCAAGGCUGAAACUUAAAGGAAUUGGCGGGGGAGCACCGCAACGGGAGGAGCGUGCGGUUCAAUUGGAUUCAACGCCGGACAACUCACCAGGGGCGACGGUUACAUGAAGGCCAGGCUGAUGACCUUGCCUGAUUUUCCG
rnacentral:rRNA from 1 species